CCUACGGGAGGCAGCAGUAAGGAAUAUUGCGCAAUGGACGAAAGUCUGACGCAGCGACGCCGCGUGGGGGAUGAAGGUCUUCGGAUUGUAAACCCCUUUCGGGAGGGAAGAUGGAACGAGCAAUCGUUCGGACGGUACCUCCAGAAGCAGCCACGGCCAACUUCGUGCCAGCAGCCGCGGUAAU
rnacentral:rRNA from 1 species